AAUUAAGGUUAAAUGAGUCGGAGUGUGGAGCCCUAAUCUAAUAGGACUGGUGUCCUUAUAAGAAAACGAAGAGACAUCAGAGAGCCCUCUCUCCACACACAGAGAAAAAGUCACGUGAGCACACAGCGAGAAGAAGGCCGUUUGCAAGCAGGAAGAGAGCCUUUACCAGAACCCAAAUUUUCUAGCAGCUUGAUUGUGGACUUGCAGCUUCCAGAACUGCUGGAGCCCACCCACCCCCCAGACCCAGAGACAGAAGGGAGGAGGGGACCAUACGGAGUUUGGUUCAGCUCCACUGGGCGGCCUCCUUGGCUCUGUCAGCCUUGCUGCUCUGCGAGGGUCUUGUCACUGAAUCAAGGAUGGUGGCAACUCAGCUGGUUUCCAGGACUUGCAAGGGAGAUAACACCCAACUUCAGCUUGGGACAAUUCUGCUUCUUCCACUUCCUAGAGAGGCGUUUCCUUCCUCCCUUCAUCCACUUCUUCUCUGAGAAGUCUCAGGUGGGAAACAGGUGGCAGGAACUCAACUCACAGUAUCUAGACAAAGAAGGGGGAUUAUUGAUUUGCACAACUGGGAUGUUUAGGAAUAUAACAGCUUCAAGGAUGGCUGCAUUCAGGAGUUCAAAUGACGCCAUGAGUGUCCUUUCUCUCUCUCCCAAACAAAUUCUCUCCCUGCAGCUGGCAAGAUGGUUGCUAGCAGCCCCAGACGAAAUCCUAUCUUUUUAGCGAUGCCAAAAGAAAGAAACAGUCUUCUCUGACAGCCCUUAAUGAUAGGACAUCUCUGGGUCACGUGCCCAUCCUUGGAUGGGGCAGAAUCAGCAGCAGUGAUGUGCUGUGAGGGCUGAAUGUGCACUUUUAGUGACGUCAUGUUUGUAGCUUGAAAUUGGCCAUAGUGAGAGUGUUUAUACCAUGGAAAUUAGCAAACACUACAAAUCAGGGCUCCGCCCGCCCAGAGCCAGCUGUUAAACACUGAUGCACACCACUGAGUCAGCCCUACCUAAACCAAUGAAACAGUUUCUCCUGAGGAAAGAUACAUUCUAUUACCCAAAAAGGGGAAGUAGAGGCUGGCCAGGCAGAUAUAACAAAGGAACUCGACUCUGUUGAAUGCAAAUCUGCCUAGAGAUCUCAGAAAGGAAUCUUCCAGGGUUUCCUCCCACCCUGAAUCCCCAAGAGGACACUGACCAGGCCAAGGUUGAACCCACUGCUGAGACAGUCCAGCCAGUAUGCAGUCUUCCAGGAGAAGGGCCCAGCCUCUGCCCCUCCCACAGUCCUCCCUUCUCCGACCGCCAGUCACAUUCUACGGAAAAUUAAGGAACUUCCUGAGCCCACCGCUUUCUGCAAAGCCAUUCCAGCAACCUAGACCCAUGAUUUUCAGCUUGUUCAGCUAUUUUACAACAACCCUUUCAAAGCAGCCCAGAAAUGGGGGCUGUGGCUUGAUUUGAGGUUAAACAAAUAAGUGCCAUUUAUCCACCAACACUCUAGGAAUGAAAGAUUUCUUCAGGCAAAUUCCCAAGCUGUGUGUUCCAGAAAAACUGCUGCCCCAAAUUGCUGGGUUCCAGUCCAGUGUUCUCCAUUUCCGAAGCUAUCUGGGCUGCUUUCGGCUGUGCUCUGCACGGAGCACCAGGACUGAUGCUGGAGUUGGCGGCCAGACGCACCGCCUCUUGGCUGUGUCAGCCUCCCACUCAGCGCCCACAGGACCGUAGGAGCUCCUGGGGUAUUUCUUGGCCUGCUGGGAAAUGGCUCCUCUCCAUCCUAGGAGGCCUGGGCCAGACUGCUGGCUGCUUGAGGCAGAUUACUUUUCUUCC
rnacentral:lncRNA from 1 species